AAGUAGGGGAUCGUAAGACCUUGCGCUUUUGGAGCGGCCGAUGUCUGAUUAGCUAGUUGGUGGGGUAAUGGCCUACCAAGGCUACGAUCAGUAGCUGGUCUGAGAGGACGGCCAGCCACACUGGGACUGAGACACGGCCCAGACUCCUACGGGAGGCAGCAGUGGGGAAUUUUGGACAAUGGGCGAAAGCCUGAUCCAGCCAUGCCGCGUGAGUGAAGAAGGCCUUCGGGUUGUAAAGCUCUUUCAGCCGGGAAGAAAAGGUUGUGACUAAUAAUCGCAAUUCAUGACGGUACCGAAAGAAGAAGCACCGGCUAACUACGUGCCAGCAGCCGCGGUAAUACGUAGGGUGCGAGCGUUAAUCGGAAUUACUGGGCGUAAAGGGUGCGCAGGCGGUUUUGUAAGUCAGAUGUGAAAUCCCCGGGCUUAACCUGGGAACUGCGUUUGAAACUACAAAGCUUAGA
rnacentral:rRNA from 1 species